UGAAGCUAACGGCGGGGUA
rnacentral:snRNA from 1 species